rnacentral:tRNA from 1 species
GGGACGGUAGCUCAGUCGGUUAGAGCAUCGGACUCAUAAUCCGCCGGUCCAGGGUUCAAGCCCCUGCCGUCCCACCA